GACGAACGCUGGCGGCGUGCUUAACACAUGCAAGUCGAGCGGAAAGGCCCUGCUUUUGUGGGGUGCUCGAGUGGCGAACGGGUGAGUAACACGUGAGUAACCUGCCCUUGACUUUGGGAUAACUUCAGGAAACUGGGGCUAAUACCGGAUAGGAGCUCCUGCUGCAUGGUGGGGGUUGGAAAGUUUCGGCGGUUGGGGAUGGACUCGCGGCUUAUCAGCUUGUUGGUGGGGUAGUGGCUUACCAAGGCUUUGACGGGUAGCCGGCCUGAGAGGGUGACCGGCCACAUUGGGACUGAGAUACGGCCCAGACUCCUACGGGAAGCAGCAGUGGGGAAUAUUGCACAAUGGGCGGAAGCCUGAUGCAGCAACGCCGCGUGCGGGAUGACGGCCUUCGGGUUGUAAACCGCUUUCGCCUGUGACGAAGCGUGAGUGACGGUAAUGGGUAAAGAAGCACCGGCUAACUACGUG
rnacentral:rRNA from 1 species